UACGUAGGGUGCAAGCGUUAAUCGGAAUUACUGGGCGUAAAGCGUGCGCAGGCGGUUGUGCAAGACCGAUGUGAAAUCCCCGGGCUUAACCUGGGAAUGGCAUUGGUGACUGCACGGCUAGAGUGUGUCAGAGGGGGGUAGAAUUCCACGUGUAGCAGUGAAAUGCGUAGAGAUGUGGAGGAACACCGAUGGCGAAGGCAGCCCCCUGGGUCAAGAUUGACGCUCAUGCACGAAAGCGUGGGAGCAACA
rnacentral:rRNA from 1 species